CAACAACAAGAAGAACACCCGGCCAAGAACAAGAACACUUCAACACUAUUUUUUUAUUUUUAUUUUUUUGACUAAGAGAGCCCAAGAUUGGUAGUGUAGGAACACAACCAGCCUUAACUUUGAUACCAAAUGAUACCUUACAACCCCAAGAAGACACAAAACAACCCCCAAAAACAUCACAAAACACACCACAAACCGAGAGCCCAAGGAACCAACUCUCGGCCAAGAAUGACAACACAAGAAUGAAAAGAAAAUCCGAGAAUGCUUCAACAAUGGAGAGAUAAUAACAUGUAUAACCACACCAAAACAACAACAGCACU
rnacentral:lncRNA from 1 species